rnacentral:rRNA from 1 species
AACAAACGCUGGCGGCGUGCCUAAUACAUGCAAGUCGAACGGGGAAAGCUUUCGGGCGAGUACUAGUGGCGCACGGGUGAGGAACACGUGGAUAAUCUGCCUUGGAGAGGGGGACAACUAGUCGAAAGAAUAGCUAAUACCGCAUAAGACCACAGGAACUGAGGUUCUAGGGGUCAAAGGUUUUUCGCUCCAAGAUGAGUCCGCGUAAGAUUAGCUAGUUGGUGAGGUAAUGGCUCACCAAGGCGACGAUCUUUAACUGGUCUGAGAGGAUGAUCAGUCACACUGGAACUGAGACACGGUCCAGACUCCUACGGGAGGCAGCAGUAGGGAAUAUUGCACAAUGGAGGAAACUCUGAUGCAGCGACGCCGCGUGAGUGAUGAAGGCCUUCGGGUCGUAAAGCUCUGUCGCAGGGGAAUAAAAAAUGAAGGUACCCUGCAAGAAAGGAUCGGCUAACUUCGUGCCAGCCGCCGCGGUAA